rnacentral:rRNA from 1 species
UCGAAGGUAGCAUAAUCAGUAGUCUUUUAAUUGAAGGCUGGAAUGAAUGGUUGGAUGAAAUAUUAGCUGUUUCAUUUAAAAUUAUUAUAGAAUUUUAUUUUUUAGUAAAAAAGCUAAAAUUUUAUUAAAAGACGAGAAGACCCUAUAAAUCUUUAUAAAUUAGUUAUAUUAAUUAUAUAGAUUUAUUUAUUUUUUAUAAUUUAGUUUAUUUUAUUGGGGUGAUAUUAAAAUUUAAAAAACUUUUAAUUUAUAUAAAACAUAGAUUUAUGAGUUGAUGAUCCAUUAUUAAUGAUUAAAAAUUUAAGUUACUUUAGGGAUAACAGCGUAAUUUUUUUGGAGAGUUCAUAUCGAUAAAAAAGAUUGCGACCUCGAUGUUGGAUUAA